GUUUUUGGAGAAGCCAUUCGAGUCCAAACGGGCAAAAUAAAUCCAUUCAGAAUCGCCCAAUUCAACUUCCCCUUCAGCUGCACCACUCUGUUCUUCUGAAAUUUUACUCGCAGUCACAGAUCUCCUCGAAGCUUAAAAUGGAGAAUAAGCAAUUGGACGUAUCGCCAGCAAAAGCAGUCUUAUUAGGAGCGCUAGCUCCUGGUGUUAACGGUCCUACAAGGAAUACACUGAAAUCAGCGUUUCUGAUGCUGGGUUCUUGCCUUGCUGUGAUGCUUGGCUUAGCCUUCUCUUCAAGUGACUCUUCUUUGAUACUUCAUGUUGGGUUUCUUGUUCUAAUAGCUGCCACCCUCUUCUUGCUUCUUAGCUGAAUGCUAGCCCAACCUUAUCCAUGUUUUUGUUUUUCCUGGUUGGAAAUAUAGUCCUUGCAAGGUCCUCUGAGGUUAAGGUUAGCCAACUUGAUCCAAGAAGCAUUACUUGACAAAUCACCACAGGAAUGUAGACCUUUAAUAAAGAAGUGGUUUGUUGUUUUAUGCUAAUAAGCUGAAAAUUGGCCAUUUAUGCAUAUCAAUGUUAGGCUAUGGAAGCACAAUUGCGUCAGGGAAUGUCUCUCAUUUUAGUGCUUUAUCUGUUUGAGGCUUGUGUCUGUGAGGUGUUAAGGACAAUGUCAAUAAGAUUGAUAAACUCUUUCUGGAGCUGAAAGGCAUAAUUUUGGCUGCUGAUAUGUUACUUAGAGCUUAAAAAGUGCAGCAAACAUGAACUCAUCAACAUGCUAGAUAUUAGUGUUCAAUUUCUUUGCUGCAUGAACCAUGCCUGACUUACGAACAUUCAUAGCUUUGAAAUUUUCAAAUCCCAGAUGUUUCUCAGUCUUCAUUGUAGUGCUGGAGAGAUGGAGAAAUGAUGCGUGAUAUGCAUUUUGGAUACUAAUUCUCCUCAAGCGUAUACGCAGUUUUUAGAUAUUGACUAGUAUUGAGUAAAGAUUGAAAAUCAGGUUGGGUUAAGGGUUAAAACAUUGGAUUUUCUCUUUGUUACAUGUAUAUGUUAAUUAUAUAGUGUGUGAUACCUCCAAUGAUAAGUUUUUAUUGCCCAGUCACCCAAUAAUUUAAAGUUUCACAUUGCCUUGUGCUGUCUAAACAGGUCUCUGUGGUGACUUUCUAGAAUACUAAUGCCCUCAAUUGACUUUUCAAAUUAAAUAAAAAGCUGUUUAGCCACUCAGCAGUGCUGCCUUUGUCUCUGCAUUAUGAAACCUUGGAUAUGAUGUCUAUUAAUUGUGUGACUGGAGUUCAGCAUUGUUUUGGUUAACGGUUUCUUUCUCAGAUUGGUCUGGUUUCAGUUGAAUAUCAAAUGCGAGAAAUGGAUUUGCUCCCAGAUGAUCAUAGAAAGUAAUCAAAGAGAGAAAUGAUAUUUUCUUAAUAUGCUCAUGACAGUAGAGGAGAAGGCAUCAUCAAACCAAGGACUUCACUUGAUAACAAUUAACAUGUAAAGUUAGUUACAAUACAUGAUAGAUUCAUCCAUAAAGGAAUGAGAAGAUUAAAGGAGCAAUGAGCAAACCACCAUAGGUCCCAAUCAUGUUUUCGCAGUGAAAUUUUGGCAGGCAUAAUUGGUUGUGUUGGUCACUUUUGCCUUCCUUGUGUUUGUCCUUUUUGGACUUGAUGAAAAAGAAGCAAGAGCAACAUAGAAGCUGUAGCAAGAACUUCAUUUCUUUCAAGUUGAAUUUGAAUGUCGGGAAAACAUGAUGUAUAAUAUAAAGCUCUUACCAUUUUCUUUUUUUUUCAUAUACCAUUUGAAUGCCAUUCUUA